UGUCUGCCGGGCUUCCUUUUGGGGGUGCCAGCAAGUACAGCACGCUCCAGCAUCUUGGACAAACAAGCAGCCGGAUGGCAGGGAGGCGAGGGUCAGACAAAGGAGGUGACGCUGUGAGUGACUCGCGCCCAGUCAGGAGCCGUAAUCGGAGGUGAUUAAUCCAUGGAGGAGAAAGCCUGGGAGGCAUCGCUGACUCAGGGCUGAAGCUUCCUCGUGGCUGCUCUGUUCCCUGCCUCACCUGCCCCGCUUGCAGGCUGGAGGGGGAGGCUUGUUGAAAAGGGUGGCUCGUGGCUUUCCCGGCAAUGCCAUCACUUCCUUACACUUGGACUCGUCAUCAUCACACUCCCACAGCUGAGCCUGAGUGUGCCCCCCGCCGCCUCCUCUCCACGCGCUGCUCCGGGUGUAGCUGCUCUGUCCCCACCAGACGCGCUCUCCAAGCCUCGCUCCUGCCCGGGGAGGGGCGCCCACCUCUCUGCAGACCAGACUCCUGCUGGCCACGUGAGCUCUUCUGCACACACUCAGCAAACGUCUUGUGCACCCUUGCUAUGUGCUGGGUACGAUGCUACAACCGGGUCUCUGCCCUCGAGCAGUGCUCAGGUGUGUGUGACAGGAAGGCCGACACCUCUCAGCUGACUCUCACUUUGCAUCUUGCCCACGGUCCGUCAGCAGCGACAGAGUCGGGCUGGAACACUGACUCCAGGCUCAUUCUUUUUUCUACCACAUCCUGAGUCUUUUUGGUGUGUGGACCAAGGCAGCGGUUUCUGGAUGGUUCUGUGAACUCAGCUAUGGGUCAGAAGGCUGAGGCUACAGAGGAGAAGGCGGCCUCUCCAAGUUCCAAAGUGCAGUGCUGGGCCCUCUGGGCUCUGGAGCAGGAUGGCCACACCAAACCCCCCAUACCCUCCGCCUCCCCCACUGCUGCCAUGUCUCCUUCCACCAGGGGAGGAAUAUGGUCACGGCCGUGUCCUGCGGGCAGUAAAGGCCCACUGGACACCGCCUGGGGGGGCGUGUUAGACGUGGAGGAGUGGAAAGUACUGGAUUAAGGCUGCUUUCUCUUCUCUCGCCAAAGGGAAGUCCCUGCACAGCUAUGAAAUGGCAGCGAGCUUUGAAGAAGGCUUUCUAACCACCCAGAGCCAGUCCUGGAUUUUGACGUUCUGUCACUUAGCACAGUUCCUUCCCCACCAACUGUCUGCUAUGACACCACGGAGCUAAAUAGCAGAGCUGCCGAAAUUACAGUCAAAGGAGAGGGGAAUUAAGACACCAGCAAGGGAGGAAAGAUUUUUUUUAAGCAAGGAAGGGAAUAAGACAGCAACCAAUAAAACAGACAGAAGCAAGAUGUCUGUUCCAGGUGGCGAGAGGCGGGGAUGUCUUUUCUGUGGCAACUUAGUCUAAGAUGACGAAGAUGCUCAGAGAGCGUGUGGUGACAGCAGCCUCCUUCAACAGGGAGCAUCUCAUCGAGAGGUACUUAUCCCAUCACGUGACCUCGGGGGCCAACCAGAUGGCUUACGAGCUUAGCAGUUCUUCCUUAACUUCAGCAAGAGAAGGCUUGACCAGAGGAAGGAGAAGGGGCCACAGGGAGGGCACAUUUGCCUGCUGGACGCCUAUGAUUUCACAGAGGGAAAGAGCGGGAGUUCUCGUAAGUAAGGGCAGACGCCUGUGUAGAAGCCAACCACUGUGCUCUCUGACCAGGCUGUCUGCUCAGCCAGGACCGAUGGAUCUGCUCCAAGAACACAGAGGUGGGUUUUCCAGAUGAUGAGGGCAACGCAGAACAGGCACUUGGCACAAAGGCUUGACUAGAGGACAGUCGUCUUAAGACCCUGCCACGCUUCUAGCCCGAGUGACUGCUGCUGAGAGCGGGAGCGCUGGGUCCGCCCUCUCUGUCACCUGCCCCGUGUCUAAAUGCACGGUGAGGAUCCGGACAGGAGUAUCAUGAUAGGGUCACCUGCGAUUUGUCCAGG